AAUAGUUUCCAUUAAUUGUUUGAUUUUUCCUUUAUAUUAGUCAUGUAAUGGAUGAACUCUUAGAUUUGAUUGAAUUUGAGACACUUUCUUUCUCCCCCUUUUCUAAUAUCUCCUAUCCAUCGCUCUCUUUAUCUCUGCUAUUUUCUUCUUUUUUUUCCCCUCAAAUUCUGUUUUUCCCCCUUUCAUCACUUUGUUUUGAAUACUGAAGACCCAUUCGAGUCCUGUGGAAGACCUAUUGAAGAUCCACACAUCAGCAACAAGUUUGAGGACCUGAAGACAGCUUGUUUUCCCUGAUCGACACUGGUUUUCUGCUAGGGUUUUGACCUGCUGUUUGUCCUCAGUUUCUACCAAGCCUGUGGCCAGUUGCAGCCACACUUCUGGGUGACUAUUGGAGGACCUAAAAGAGAGACUCGACCAGGAGGAUGGAGGACUGGAAGGCCUUUUGAAGCUGCUGCUGAAAUCUCCCUCGCGACAUACUGAUUCUACCGCCCAGAUCUGGUUCAGGUCCUUCGAUCUCUUUGUUGCAUACUACUCCAAGCUGAAUAUAGAGCUUUUGGAAGAGCAGGUUGUGGUGAAGCUUUUCCUGGAAUAUCGGACUCAGUCGACAAGUAUCAGCGAGGUUCUCCUUCUGUUUCUGUUUCCCUAUUCUGCCGCCUCUCUUGAUGGUUGUCUAGAGGUUGAAGACAACCCCAAUAGAAUCGUGUUUUAUUUUAGAGAUACUUGUUUGAUUUUACACUUAAGCCCCUGUGACCUAAACGUGUGUUCUAAUAAAACCUUCUUACUUUAGUAAUUCCAGAAUGCCCCCCCUCUUUGAUUUUUCUAUUCCAGUUUGACCCUAUUAUUUAUUUUCCCCUUUUAAGCUCUUAAAAUUGUUUCUGAAAUUACAAGAAUACCCCUCAACCAUUAUAUUAAGCUUCUUAGUCAUUCUUGUGGGCCCUAAGUGAUCCGAUUUCGAUCAUUGGAAUUCGGUUCCGCAUCAGGGCAGGCAUUGGUUCUUUCAAGAAAAGAAAGGAGAGGUACUUGGACAUUACGUGGAUAGAUUUUCCAAAUGCUUUUACUUCUUAUGGUAAAGGCUUUAUGAUCUACAACCACCAUUGGCACCCCUCGACUCCUGUUAUCAUGUUCAAAUCUUGACAGGCCAUUGGACGUCCCUUUAGAGUUAUUGAGCAUUUUCCAUUAUGAUGCCCUGAGCCAUCCACUCUAUUUGAUACACCUGAUGGAGAGAGUGUACUUUUCCUAGCAUUACAUUGAAUUUUAUACAAAUUUCCAUUUUCUGUUUCUACUUCGUGCAGUAAUUGUAUUAUGAUCAACUACCAGCACUACCUUCAGUACCAUCUGCUCCUGUUGUUUUGUCCAACACUGGGCAGGCUAUGAGACCUCACCUUUGAAUUACUGAGAAUGUUCCCUUUAAAAAGCACACGCCCACUCACUCCAAAUGUAUGCAAUGCUUUCACUGUUUGAGUACACCUUAUGAGUCAUUAUCUCCUUUUUCUUGCAUCAUAUUUAGUUUCUUUUAUUUUUUCCCUCCACUGAACAUGGUUUUUCUUAUCUGAUCCAGGUUUCUGGAGAGUACUCCAUGAUCAAAGCUGGUGCUGUUCUCAAAAUGAUUGAUGAAGAGAAAGUCAUGAUGGAGUCCUUGAUGUGUCUCCGGCGGGCUGGUGCAGACAUCAUACUCACUUAUUUUGCUCUACAAGCAGCUAGAUGUUUAUGUGGUGAAAGUUAGAGAAGAAAUGGAAACCCUUAUAAAAUUGUGUUGGUGACUCAACGAUCACUGCAAAGGGACCCAUCAAGGUUAAAUUAUCAUAUAAUUAGUAUUCAUGUGCCCAAAAUAACCUCAUGUGGGUUCUGAAUUUCCAAGACUGUCCUGUCCUCCGGAUCCCAGAUUGAUUUUGAGAAAGAAAGGGACAAGAAUUCAAGUCCCUUCUUAAUACAGCAUAUCUUAAUCUCAGAUCCUAUUAUGGAGCAACACUCGAGCGAUUGUGGACUAUAUGAACAGAUUGGUUACGUUUAUCCACAUCUUGUUUAUUUA